UAGGGAAUCUUCCGCAAUGGACGAAAGUCUGACGGAGCAACGCCGCGUGAGUGAUGAAGGUUUUCGGAUCGUAAAGCUCUGUUGCCAGGGAAGAACGUCCUUGAGAGUAACUGCUCAAGGAGUGACGGUACCUGAGAAGAAAGCCCCGGCUAACUACGUGCCAGCAGCCGCGGUAAUACGUAGGGGGCAAGCGUUGUCCGGAAUUAUUGGGCGUAAAGCGCGCGCAGGCGGUUAUUUAAGUUGGGUGUUUAAUCCCGGGGCUCAACCUCGGGUCGCACCCAAAACUGGGUAACUUGAGUACAGAAGAGGAAAGUGGAAUUCCACGUGUAGCGGUGAAAUGCGUAGAGAUGUGGAGGAACACCAGUGGCGAAGGCGACUUUCUGGGCUGUAACUGACGCUGAGGCGCGAAAGCGUGGGGAGCAAACAGGA
rnacentral:rRNA from 1 species